AGCACAGUGGCUUCUGAAUCUGCAUUCAGUACAGGAGAAAGGGUGCUUGAUCCAUAUCGCAGCUCAUUAACACCUACAACAGUCGAAGCGUUGAUAUGCACCCAAGAUUGGCUCAAAGGAACAUCUUCCUCCUUGAUUACAAAUGAAGAUUUUGAUAUUCUUGAGAGAUUUGAGCAAGAAUUACUUUAUACGGAAGAUGGUGCUAGCUGUUCAACCUCUUCAACUUCUGUUACACUCGAAGAUGAUUUAACGCAUUAAGCUUAUUGCAGAAGAAGCUGAUUAAUUGCUUAUGGAACUAGAAGUGAAAAAACAUAAAGAUUCUUCAUGUUUCAUAUUUUGUUAUAUUCAUAGUGUAGGUUGAAGAAUUUUAUUGUUGUUAAUUAGUCUAGUAACAAAUUCAAUGAAAUUAUUUCUGUUUUUAAUCAAGAUAUUAUUUGUGGAGAUUAUGAUAUUGUUUGUGGAGAUUAUAAGAGUUA